GACACGACUCUCGGCAAUGGAUAUCUCGGCUCUUGCAUCGAUGAAGAGCGCAGCGAAAUGCGAGACGUGGUGCGAAUUGCAGAAUCCCGCGAAC
rnacentral:rRNA from 1 species